rnacentral:sRNA from 1 species
GUUGUUUUGGUUCUUCGUCCUUUCCUUUCUUCUUCUGCAUUUCUCCUCCAAAAGAUGCUACUUCUACCGUCUCUCCUCCCGUCGCUGCACAAAG